rnacentral:rRNA from 1 species
UACGAAGGGGGCUAGCGUUGCUCGGAAUGACUGGGCGUAAAGGGCGCGUAGGCGGUUUGUUUAGUUAGGCGUGAAAUUCCUGGGCUCAACCUGGGGGCUGCGCUUAAUACAGGCAGACUGGAGUGUGAGAGAGGGUUGUGGAAUUCCCAGUGUAGAGGUGAAAUUCGUAGAUAUUGGGAAGAACACCGGUGGCGAAGGCGCCCACCUGGCCUGCUACUGACGCUGAAGCUCGAAAGCUAGGGGAGCAAACGGG